rnacentral:rRNA from 1 species
UAACCGAAUAGGGGAGCCGGAGGGAAACCGAGUCUUAACCGGGCGUUAAGUUGCAGGGUAUAGACCCGAAACCCGGUGAUCUAGCCAUGGGCAGGUUGAAGGUUGGGUAACACUAACUGGAGGACCGAACCGACUAAUGUUGAAAAAUUAGCGGAUGACCUGUGGCUGGGGGUGAAAGGCCAAUCAAACCGGGAGAUAGCUGGUUCUCCCCGAAAGCUAUUUAGGUAGCGCCUCGUGAAUUCAUCUCCGGGGGUAGAGCACUGUUUCGGCUAGGGGGCCAUCCCGGCUUACCAACCCGAUGCAAACUGCGAAUACCGGAGAAUGUUAUCACGGGAGACACACGGCGGGUGCUAACGUCCGUCGUGAAGAGGGAAACAACCCAGACCGCCAGCUAAGGUCCCAAAGUCAUGGUUAAGUGGGAAACGAUGUGGGAAGGCCCAGACAGCCAGGAUGUUGGCUUAGAAGCAGCCAUCAUUUAAAGAAAGCGUAAUAGCUCACUGGUCGAGUCGGCCUGCGCGGAAGAUGUAACGGGGCUAAACCAUG